AUGGACUGCAUAUGCUGAGGAAUCUCAGCCUCUCGGGCAAUUCUUUCACCGGCCGCCUCAUCCCUACCAUCGGAACGAUUACUUCUCUGCAGCAUUUGGAUCUGUAGGAAACCAGUUCUACAGUCCAAUCCCAGCCCAGCUCAUGGAGCUCUAGGGAGUCUUUUAAGGAUUGUUCAAUGUAGAUAUUUCAGAACUUGGAAAUAUUGGAUGUGAUUCAAAAUCAGAUCAGAGGGAAGCUUCCUUCGUUUCAUCCAUUGCUAUCCCUUUGGGUUUUGUGGGUUGGUAACAAUCUGCUAGAUGGAUCCAUACUACUUGAGCUCUUUGGGAGUUCCAUGCAGCUGGAAGAACUGGAUCUCAGCAGCAAUGGAUUUUUAGGUUGAGACGGUCCUUCGAGAGCAUCCUAAUCCGUCUCAAGUGGAGAAGGUGAAACUAAUCCUUGGGAAGCAUGAAAAAGAACUUAGCGAAGCACUUGAGAAGGUUGUUGGUGUAUUAGACGAUGGAAUUGCAUUGAUUUGCAAGGUGAUUAUAGCUAAAAUAGUCGUUACGUGGGGCUGUUGGACACUUUGAUGUAUGCUAACUCCUUUUUGUAAUACAACCCUGUUUGAUAGGUUGUGUCAAGGAUGAUUGGGUUUCUGUACCUCUGUUAUGUGGGUAAGAGCAAUUGGAGUCUUAUGGAAUGGAUCAGCUGUACCUCUGUUAUGUGUUACUGAUGGCCACCAUCCUGGAGCGACAUUGGACCGGAAUGGAUUGCCCCAGUCACUUUUACAUUACACAUAAUGGACACGUGAUCAUGGCCAGUGAGGUUGGUGUUGGAGACAUCUUGCCAGAAGAUGUGGCUAGGAAAGGAAGACAUCUGAUCGGUCCAAAGGGACCUUACUGAAAUAGUUCAUGUGGAAGGCUAAGAAAGGAAGACAUUUGUAGUCUGUUUUUAA